CUUCCUGAUUUUGGUGUAUCUAAUUGGGGGCAGUUGUUGAGUGGUUGAUACCAUAGGAUUCAGGUGAAGCUACCAGUUCUUUUCCUUUCAGUAUGCCACUGGGAUGCCAUAUGGCACAGAGCAAAUCUAGUGCUCCUGUGACUUCUUCAGAUACGCCAUUAUCACGGGGUCCUUCCGGGGGCCUACCUUCUCCACUGAGAGGUCUCUUCAUGAGGUAGUGCUAGUAAACAGAUCCAAUGGAAGCGUGUGGUAUGCUGUUAUUAAAACCUUCUUAAAUAUUCCUUCUCUCCCUGAGCUCAUUAACUAGAAUGCUCCAUUUUAUCAGAUUGUUUCCUGUUCUAGUGAAGCUGCAUCUGACACGUACUUGUGUCUCACUUUCAUCUUGCAUUUGGCAGAUGGGAAAGAAAGGGGUCUAAGCCUGUGCAAACUUGUUUUUUCAUCCACUGGGACUGCGUUCUCCAAGUAAUUUGGAGCAGGUUUGGGACAGCCAGCCCUUGUGCCUUCUUCUUCUGCAAGGGUUUGUAGAGCUGUAAGUCACAACCUGUGCUCGGCCAUUUCUGCUGCUGCCCCUGCAGUCCCUACAUGUCAAUUAGUCAGCUUUCCAAGUCUCUUCCUUGCCUAAAAAAUCCCUCACGUGGCCACUGCAAAUCUGCCUUCCUCAGUGGACUACUUAGAGGAAAAAUAUCUUGGAAUAUAAUUUUGGAAUAUAUCUCGGAAUAUAUUUUUAUAGACCUUGCAUGUUACCCCAUUGUUGGAUAAAAUUUGUCCUUUUUCACAUUGCAAUAUAGUAUACGACAAGCGCAGGCCAGGUGGUAGAGCUACAGCUGCCUCUUGUUUUCUUAUCAGAUGAAGCCAAGAUGCUGUUAAAACAAGAAGACCAGAUUGAAAUAAAAGGGAGCUGUAGGCUGUGAAACAUUACAAAAUACCUCAUCGAAUGUCUUUGCGGGACAUACGGCAACAGCAAAGCUGUUAUGUGCUAAAUGGGUUUGGAGUGGAGGCCAGCUGAAAGCGAUGCAUAAAUGAUUUACUUAUUCAUUUAUAACCCUAACCUGGAAUCAUGAAUUUUUGCUGUCCUAUAAAAAGGAUGACUUUAUGUGACCCUUUAAAGCCUUCAGCUUUAAGUGGCAUUAAGUUGAUGGCUACUUGUUUUGUACCUUCAGUGAAAAAUUAUGCAUAAAUCACGUAGGAUUUGCUUGUAAUGUACUCAUAAUCCUCACAAGCAAAACUCCCACCCAAAUCUAGUGAUAGAGCAUGGUUUCUUGAACUAAGCAGAAAGGUCACCUCAUAAAAACCAUGCCGGCAUAAUAGUCAGGCCACCCAGACAAUUUUUUUUUGGCUAGGACAUUACUUUAAUUAAGUGAUUGUAAAGUUAAAAUAAUAAUAGGCUUCUUAUUUAAUCAGAUAAAAGCCAGGGGAGCUACAUUAAACCCAGUUUCCAUCCACCAAACGCAUCCAGACGAGCUAAGAUCACUCGCUGUUCGAAGAACAUUUUUGCACAGAGGAGCAGAGAGGGAUGGGCUCAUCCCGUCCUAAAACGUUCUGGGGUUUGUGUGUUCAAAUCGAACCCUUAGCAUUGUUUUGUUCCUUAAUUGCCUCUGUUCUGUUGAUUUAUUGAUGCUUUUGAGGCAAGUAGGCUCAGUAAUACAUAACCACACGUGUCACGUAAAAGCUGCUGUUGAAUCCGUGGACAUUGUGCACAAAAGGAAAGGACUGACUAAGGAGACUGCUGUGGGGAUGGUCUUCCUCUUAAAGGUAAAAACAGCAGUAGCUGUCUUUUAAAGCUGGAAUUAAGGCACACAAUCACAAAAGAAAUUGAAGGCCAUGUGAAAUCAAUGGCUAGGGCUCUCUCAAUCCCUGAAAUCUGCCCAGGCAGCCAACAACUCCGGCAGAAGGUGAAUGGGAACCUGUGGUCCGGCGGCUCAGGCUGGAGGCCGGAACAUCUUCGGAGAGCAGUGCUGGGAGGAGCAAGGGCUGAACGUACUGCUCGAACAGAAAUGGCCCUUCCAGACCAGGGUGUCUCUGGGGGGAAGUAGGAGUGCUAUAUGCUUUAGCACUUGUUACACAGGCUCUGAAUUUGGAUGAAAAUUGUGAAUUUCAGUCCUUUGCCAGCCAUGGGCGCUGAUGUACAGUUGAAAAAAAAAACAUAAUAUUGUCUAACUUGGCUAGGUUUUGGGGUGAUUUUGGAGAGGUACAUCCUUCCACCAGUGGCUAAUGACUUCUUUCAGCAGCUCUGUCAUCCUGAUUUAGUUUUUAGGAGUAUGCACACGGAUGACCAGGAGCAAAUGCAAUAUAUACAAGCACAACGUGUACCUCUCUUGUGCUUCUGAGGCACCGAAUUCACAAUAUAGAUGUUCAUAUUUAGUGCUUAGCACAUUAAAUCUCCAUAGGCCUGUAGAAACAUGUCUAAUUUAUACAUCCAAAUUAAUAGAAGAGGUAAUCAUACAUAAUAGUCAGUCUUUUCAUCACUUAACUCAAUGAGGAAUGAAGACACUGUUUUGUUUGGACUGUAAUUGCUUAUACAUACCUGAAAAUACCAUCCCAUAUUCUCAGUUCUUUGUAAAAACACCACAAGUUUGUCGUUAGAAGAGCAUUUCAGGCAACUGCAUAAUGAGUUAACUUCACUUUUCCACUAAACUGAAAAUUAGGAGCCUGACCCAAAUCUCACUGGGAUAUCUCUACUGGAGUUUUUCAUUGAACUUAGGUGCUGAACAAGCUAAACGAGUUCAUUUAAAAAUCUGUUUGAAAAUUAUCAUUCAGAAAAUGGAGUCUUGAAAGCUCAGUGCUGAUAAUGAGCAUUCUGGCAGACCUUUAACCAGCAGUCAAAUGCCCUCAUGGUUUAUAUUUUUUAUUUAUGUUACAUAUAUAUUGCCCACCUGAGCUUCCAGACUGAAAUCAGUAGACAGCUCUAUCUCAGUCUUAAUUCCUCAGCCCUGGUUGUAAUGGCAUCCAAGUGAGGAAAAUACCUGCCAGCUCCAGGUGGCUGAGUACACAGAUGGGUGAAACAUGAGCAGUGGUUUAGAGAGCCACAAGGUCAUAUCGUAAGAGUAAUGGGCAUUGUCAAUGGUUUUUGCAAAAAGGGACAAAGAGUUGCAAAUUGUGCUGGGAAACCUGGACUCUAUUUAGCUACAAUUGAAGAAGCAGCCUGUCUCAGAAACCUGCAUUCCUACCAUUUGUACUGAGAGGUUCCGGUAGGGAGGUUUUAAAAAAUUUCCUGAACAGUUCACAUAAAAUAGAAAAUUAGAGAUUAGAAGGGGCUGGAUGGCAUCACCUGUAGUCAGCCUGCAUAUCAUCUUUCUCUGUGAUUCAGUUCCACAGUGGGAUUAUAAUAGUUGUUGAAUAAGGCAGUAGAAUUGAGCCUUCAGGUUAAACAUAGGCUGAAUAAGAAUUAUAAGUACUGUGUAAAUAAAUUCCCUCUUAUUUACAGUCUUGGUACUAAGAGUUUGUCCUUUGAGGUCUGCGUAAUAAAAUACAAGUAGGAUCUACAAAUUCCAGCAUUUUAGUAUUAACUGUGCUCAGGACUGCUAUUCUAAUGCUUUGGUAGAGUUCCCCCUUCCAAUUUUCACUGUUUUAAGUCACUUUAAUAGAGAGAAUUAAUUUUCAUUGAAAGCAUUUUUUUCCCAACAUUUCCUUGUUUCCAGUAAGAAAAGAACAAGAACAAAGGCUAGCAAACAAAAUACAACUUGUCUAAAAUCUCAUAAAAGCUCUUACACAAGAAUCUAUCAAGCCUGGGAAAAUAUGUGUUCUUUUGUAAAAACAUAUUUUUCCUUGAAGUCACUGCUAGAUUGCAAAAGUUCACAUAACAUAUUGGUAUGUGUAUGUGUUUAUGUAAGACGGACCUCUGUAUUUCACUUUCUGAUGUCAGCGUUGCCUUGGCAACUGUAUUUUAUUGAUUAAUAGAAUAUAUAUAAUUUGUUUCUGAGCCGCAUCAUCUUAUAAAUUCAUUUUUCUUUUUGAGAGGCGGUUUCAUUUUCUUGUUCUGUGAGUAAAAUUAUUUUUCUGAUAUGAGAAAUAUUCUUUUGAUCUUUCUGGAGGUGUUUCUGUGGCUGUACACAAAACCGAACAAAGUUUGACAAAUACAUGCUUAUAAAGAAAGUUGUUAAAUUACAUAUUAUACACUGAUAUGUGUAUUUCUUAAUAAAGUGCUUUUGCCUUAUCUUUUAACCUAAUAUUUUAUCUGUAGCUUCACUGGUGAAGCAAUUGGAGACUCUGUCCAUACCGUUCUGGUUAUUAGAUGCUAUGUGGUGCUUUUCAUCCAGAGAUUUCAGAUUCUGAUUAGUAAUACUUCACAGAAUCUCUUUGAACUAAAUAUUAUUCUGGAAUUUAUUUUACAUCUAGAUAAGCUGAGAUAUGGAAAGUCUGAAACUUAGCCUCAUAUCAGAGCAAAUUUGAAAUGGUACUGAGAAUAGCUCCUGAAACUCAAGAAAUUUUUACUCCAUUUUAGGUUUGUCAGCUUUAAUAGUUAGUUCCCAAUUUAUGUCUGUAGCAUUUCAAGAACCUGUUGUCCCAUCACGAGUCCUGCUGCCAUGAUUGCUGGACAUAUUUAUGAGAAGUUGUGGUUCUGACCUGGUGACCUUCCAUCUUCGUGCAGAUGGAGUCACAAGUGAAAGCUACAAGCAGUAGGGGAGAGGGUAGGAAAGGAGGGAUACCGUGUUCAAGUUCAGAUGGUGCUGUUGGCUGAUCGCAUGCACAGUUCGAGACAUCCACAUCAUUAGAUUUAUCAAAUAUCCUCCUACGUUUGGUUUUAUCUCCCCCCCCCCCUUGUUUAUUUGUUUCAUGGUUUAAGAGUAUUACAGCAGCCAAGAGAAGCCAAGAGCAGUUUCCCAGAUCAGAUCAAGCAGGGGAGCAAUAAGAAGAAAACUAGGAAGGCCAAGAAAAAGGAGGAGGAGUGCAAGUAAUAGAUGGGAAAGUAAUGGAAGUUCAGCCAGAUGUUGAUGUAAAAGCUGUCUUUUAUAUAGAGCUGAAAGCGCAGCCAUCCCUACAGCCCUAAUAUUAACAAUUUACAAAUUAUAACAGUGACUGUAUUUGUAUGUCAUACAGAGUGUAAAUUAUGAGAAUGGGUUGUCAACACACAUAGGAAAACAAGUCUGAAAAUCUCUAGCACUUUCUUUAAAUAUAAUAGUUCCUGACUAUUAAAUAUCCCAUUGGUUGCUAUCUAAAUAUUUAUCUUCAGUUAAAUUACAAGAAGUCCACAGUCAGAGAAAACCCACGCUUUUCUGUUCUCUGUCUUAAAGAUUAAAUUAUGUUCUACCUUUGAAAAAACACUUGGUUUCUGGUUUUAUUCUGCUUUAUUUUUGUGGAUAACUUUGGAAAAAAAAAAAAAAAAAGAAAGAAGACUUUGCCAUUGAUGGCAAGAUUGUGGUUUUGAAAGCUGUUUACCAUGCUAAGUCAGAGACCAUAAUAUGAAAUCAUGUUUUUAAUCUUUCAGAUUAAAACAUUCAACAACAGGUUUUCCUAGCAACAAGGCUCCACCUAACACAGAGCCUCAUUUUCUUGCAAGGAUCCUGCAGUUUUACAUGGAUUUUCUGGGCCAGUCUUUGGCAGCAGCAACACUAAUUUAUUCCAGAUGAAAGUCAGGCCCACUAUAAUUAGCAAUACCAUGGUAUUUGUCUGAAAAAUCAAGAAACAUUGGCAUUUGCUAGAGAUGCAGUGUGUCUAGUGGAAAACCCUUUUAUUUCUAGCUUCUAGGUACCUGGGUCUAAACAGAUGAUCCAGUCCAUUUGGCAUAGCUGCUUCAUUAGUCUGAGGAGAGAGGCGUUUACUUGCAGAGAACUUGAAGACCCAUUCCCCCUCUCCAUCCAUCCACCCACUGGAGGAUGAUUCAGUCUGCCUCAGUUAAGUAAACACCUCUUCCAUUGGGAAUAUACAAGAAUAAUAGGAAAUAAAUGCUGGCACCUCCAUGCAGUUGGGAUCCAUUUACUCAUUCGAAGAUGGUUGUGACUUAUCUUCCUCUUGCAUAAUAACCCGAGAAUUGGAGCACUCACCACAGAGGGAGGAGAUCCUGGGCUCUGCUCUGAGUGGAGUGAGCUCACAUCUUCCUCUCUUAACUCAGAGGACCUAAACUCCUGCCUUCGUAGGAUGACCAUCCGUAAGUCUUCAUGCUUUGUUUCUUAUCCUCUCCUUUUCUGUCUGUCUGUGAAGACUGUAAGCUCUGUAAGGCACCAGCAUGUUUGUCAUUGAACACUGAGCAGCACUGACUGCUAUAAGGUUUUGAUUUUGGCUGGGGUUUAUAAUAAAAUAGUAAUAGUAACAAGUGUGUGUAUUUCUCCCUUCACACCAUAGAAAAAUAAAAUGCAGAGUAAAAGCCUUGUUCUGGUAGCUCAUUUGUUGUUUUUGACUGGUAUUGGUAGAGAUGGGCUUUAUACAGCCUUUGGUUGUGACACAGUUUGUGGAACAGGGGGUGAGUCUCCAAUGAUGCUGGACUUGAUGUGUAUUUGUGGACCACCUGGCUGCUUGAUAGUUUUCUAUGGACAUGACUAUGUCCUCAUUUUUGUUUGUGUCUUCUAGAGACGCUUGUGCCUUAGUUUAACAGAAUUGUAGCACUGGGAAACGUGCUUCAGGUUCCUGUCUUGCAGCUGGCUCUCUCAGGAACUUUCUUGGACCUAGGCAAGCACACAGCUCAGGGCAGAGGGAGAUUGCAGAGCUCCUACUCAGUAUAACAGCCCCUUGGCAUCUUCUUCUCUUUGAAUUUCUUAAGAAGGACAGAGUGGGAGGGAUGGGGCAGUAAGGACAAUGUGCUGCAUUAUGCAGUCACUCCUGCAAUACUGGCGAAGAAUGCAGCAGUGAUGUGUUCCCCGAGUGAGUCAUUCUGGAGCUGCCAGAAGUUGUAGGAACCCAUUGCCCAGCGAUGAGUAGUGGUUGACCUUUAUUCCCACCAUAGAGAAUAUUGAAAAACUGAGCUAGAUGAAUUGCCUUCUGAGCAUUGGCAUCGAUGCAGCCUGGUUUCCUAUGGCAUUGAAUUCCUUCCCCCCAGCUCGCGGAAUCCAGAGUCCUUGCUGUAAUGCAAGCAGAAAUUAAAAGCGUGAUGUGGAAAUUAGUAGGUAAAGCUAUAUGAUUUGUGGCAUGGAGACAGAAAAGGAACACAUUUUUAGGUUUACCUUAAAAUCUUCUAAGUUAUUAUAGUGAAAAAUUGUUGAGAAAAUCAUCAUAAGGAAAAUAUGGGGCCCACCCUGCCAAUUCAUCCCUUAUGUGUUUCAGCCCAGCAGAUGGAUAGCCAGUGACAAAUUUGUUCUGAGCUUAUCAGGCAUAGUAAAUUACUGUACAGCUCACAGGCAGCUAAAGUUAUAUCAGUACAUUGUUCCUAUAAAGCGACAGUUAUUUUGAUAAUCUGCUUUGACAUCUUUAAAGGUAUUACUAACUCUAACUACCUUCUAUUAAAUUAUUUUUUAAAAAUAAAUGAAUUUAACAACUCAAACUACACUAAAAUGUAGAUGCUGUCAAGGAGACUUUUAGAAGUACACAAACGCUGUGUUGAGCCUUCCCCCUCCUUCUGCAUCUCCCCAUCCCCCAUGAUAAAAAUAUCAUGGCUCACAUAUGGGAUAUUCUUCACAUCAUUUAAAAAAAAAAAAAAAAAAACUCUGAAUGAGAAAGGGUUUUUCCAUUGGUUUGGAGUUGGUCUUCAACUAUGCAGGAGCAAUUCAGACACUGACAGUAUAAGAAAGGCAUCCAGAGAUGCUGCUGGCCACUCUUGAAAACUGAUUAUUUUCUUGAAAGUGAGAUUGACACAAGUUGUUCAGUGAAAGUCACAGAAAUCAAAUAUAUUGCUGUGCCUAUAAUGUUUAGCAUAUGGAACUCACCAAGGCAUUUGUAAUUUAGGAUUUACCCUUUGCUUUCAGAUCUCUGGCAACUUCUUCCUAAAGCUGUUUUAGUAUUUUUUAUCUGAGUCUGCAUAACCAUUUCUCUGUUUCAUCCUGUGGUGAUCCAUCAUAACACACUUUGAUAGAUUUUCAGUGUCCAUUUGGCUUAGGAUCUUCUUGUGCUGGCACCACUUCUGAAAACAGGAGCUAGGAGAGUAGUGGCUAAAGACUGGCUUCAACCUGGUGAGAUCUGUUUCCCCAGUUCCCAGUGCUCAGUGUACUUCAGGAAACAAAUAUCUACUCGAAAAGGUUAACACAAGGUCUCUGGGAGGGCAUACUCUGCUGCUUGCACAGCAGGACGUGUAGUUUCUGCAUGAGAACAGUAAUAAAAAUAUACUCGUUAUUUAUCAAAUGAGACUUUUACUGUGUUUUCAUACUGGUGGAUAUCACUGCAGAAUCUGCCUGGGGUGGAAGGGCUGUCCUCCAGGAGGCAAGGCAAAGCAGUCUCAGGCUGCCUGUAGUAGCCUCAUCUCGCAGGAUGCCCCCAGGGAGCAGAGCACUUUGAAAGACUUCGUAACCUGAAGGCCAAGCAUUAAUCUGAAAGCCCUUCAAGUGCUCGUGUCCUCUGCUGGCAGCAAAAUAGCCCUUCUGAAUAAAGGGGCAGGGAAUUAGAAAAGCAAUGCCAAGGGUAUUCCUUCGGAAACUUGAUAGAAGUUAAACUCUGCUUUUGAAAAUGUAACCUCUCCAGGCAUAGUUAGGGAUGUGGGAGGUGGCCAAGAGGCAGAACAGUCACCCAUAAAGAAAUACGGGUGAGUGGGGACUUUAACAGCUAAAGCACUGUAUGAAGACGUCAUGAAGACACAAAAUUAAGAGAAAGUCUCUUGUAACCUAGACAGAAGGUUUUUAAAAGGGAUGGCAUGAAAUAGAAAGUACCAUGAAUCAAAGUGUCUUCAGAUUAAGCAUAUUCAAUAUGAGCCCAGAUUUGAAUACUUCUGAUGUCUCUUCCCCUUAGACCUCUUGUCUUUAUAAAGGGCUAAUCUAGAAUUCUUUCAGAGCACCUUUUAUGUUUGAUUGCAGGUGUACUUUUUCCUAUUUGAGUCAAAGUAUCAUCUUUAGGCAGUGAUUAAAGAGAGGAAGAACCUUUGUGGUCUCAAAGUGGCACAUUCUAAUUGCAGAUGAAUUAUUUACUGUCCCUACUUAAGAAUUGUAGUUCAAAUGUCCAAAAUGGAGAAUGGACGAAAUAAUUGUAAUAUUAUUGUAGUCAGCCCCUGUAAGCGUUUCUAGUGUAGAUGGUCAAGUUCACUGUCUGAGGAAAGAGUGGCAGUGAGAGGAAGCAGCAAUGAUGUUAGAAAAGGAAUUAUCAGCAGUAAGAAGUCUGGAGAAUACUUUUUAGAGACUCUGUCUAUGCUUAGGAUAUAGGAUUUUAAGAGAAACAUGAAGAUUGUAACUAAAAUUUCUUCUGAAUGUUCCCUGUCAUACUUUAUAUUAAAGAAAUUGUCCAUAAGGAGAAGUCCCUGCAAGUACUGUGAAGGCAUGCACCUCUGAUGUGCACAGCAAUGGGCUGCAUAUGUCGUAGUUUGGAGAUGUCAAGAUGCCCAGUACUGUGUGCUGUUAAUUCUUGGCAGCUAUGACAGGUAUUUCCAGUAGAAUAUGAUCUUUGUUGGGGCUGGCAGCAGCCAAAUUCUAUAUGGAAAUAUUGAUGAAAUAAAUUCCUAGGUAAUUCCAAGGCAAAAAACAACAACAACAAAACCAGUAAAGCUAUGCAUUAUAUUUCAGCUAAGGAUAAUCCUCUAUCUAAACAUUCCUCAGGACCUAGUUGCGGUGCCAUCCUUUCUCAUUUUUCAUCACCUGAAAGCCAGAUUUGCCUUCAGGGUAUAGGAUCAUUGUGUCAAAGAUGAGCUGGCACUCCUGGUCUCACUGCUGACUGCUGUGCUUUCAGCAGCUCCUAUAGCACACAGCUGUUGGAAGGGUCUUUGCGCUUGCUACAGAUACCAAUGUACUGGUCUCUUCUAAAAUGAUGGAGGAGAAUAUUGUGCCCUUUUCAUUUCAAGGCAUCAUAAAGUCUUGGAGACUUUUGAGGCCGGUUGCCAGAUGUGAUUAAAAAUUAAUGGAGCAGAGCAAUUGGACUUGAUCCCCCUGACAGACACAUGAAUAACAGCUUUUCCUAAGACUACCUUUUUAAACAGUUCUUUUUGCAUCUGUGUUUCUCUCCUUCCUGACCGAAAUGACAAAUUCUUUAUCAUAAAAAAUGGAAAACAGUGUUAGUGGACAUUUGGGGAUUUUUUUUAAUGCAGUUUCCUGCAAAAUCUAGUUGGAUUCUGUUCAUUGCACAAAGAGUGAACUAGUGAGCCAGACUGUAAACUAGAGCAUAAAACUAAGUCAACAGGCAUUAAGUGAGGAAGCAGAUACAACUCAGUUUAGUGGUCCAGAAGUUGCCUUCGGUAAUGUGCACACUCAACAUGUGUGAAAUGAUGCCUGCUGUAUUGCUUCAAAGCCUGUCUGCUUUGGAAAAGAGAAAAAAAAAAAAAAAAAAAAAAAAAGUUGUAUUUUUGUCUGCUGUUACCAAAGCCUUGAAAUUCAGACUGGAGAUAUGUUAGAGAAAAGGAAAUAGGAAAAAGGAGGAGGCGAUGAGGCAUGCGAUCUCUGCAUUGAUGCUCUAGAAGAUUGUGGGGAGUGUUACUGUUGAGGCCCUUAUAUUGAA